UACGAAGGGGGCUAGCGUUGCUCGGAAUCACUGGGCGUAGAGGGUGCGUAGGCGGGUCUUUAAGUCAGGGGUGAAAUCCUGGAGCUCAACUCCAGAACUGCCUUUGAGACUGAAGAUCUUGAGUUCGGGAGAGGUGAGUGGAACUGCGAGUGUAGAGGUGAAAUUCGUAGAUAUUCGCAAGAACACCAGUGGCGAAGGCGGCUCACUGGCCCGAUACUGACGCUGAGGCACGAAAGCGUGGGGAGCAAACAGG
rnacentral:rRNA from 1 species